UAAGAACGGGUCAGGGUGCCGGUCGGUAGCCGCGGCGAGGAUGAGACGGGCCGGAUAGGGAGCCGGUUGGCGGCAGUGCGACCAGCGAGGGAGUGGUCCAGUCGGUGACGGUGUGGGCUACGAGAGACCCGGUCGGUGGCGCUGGCUACGAGGAGUCGGACGGCGGCAGCGACGUUUGCUGCGAGGAGACGUACGACGGCGGUGGUGCUGGCUACUAGAGGGCACUUAAUUAAGAGAAGGGCGAUGGCGAGACAUCGGUGGUGAUCGGAAGGCGGAGGUGCUGCAGACGGUAGGGUCGGUGCUUACGUGUACUUUGCUGUACGGUGUGGUGUAUUAAGUAGUGGAUAAGUAAUGGAGUGAAAGGCAAUGGGACGUUUACGCAUUAUUUUACCCAAAUUUAUGGGAUACACCAUGGUAGCAGUAGGUACUGUGUGCGGAAGAGCGCAGGGUAGACCCUUCUCCGGAGGCCGGUCCAACGCGAAGUCCUGUUUCCACGAGCUGAGGUGCAAUACGAAGUUUGUAGAGAAUGAACGACCCUUAACAAAGUAAUGAAGUGUACGGGGAAACGUAAAAAAGGGGGACUAAACACGAAAUGAGAGUGAAACAGUACACGUUGUUACCAUUUUACAAUUAUACUUUUUAGUCCGAAAGUUUAAGGUACCAUGAACGAUAUCAAGAAAAUCUAUGUCUAGCUAACGAGUAGGUUUAUUUGAUACAACUAAUACCUUUUAAUCCGAAAGUUUAAAUUACCAUGAACGAUAUCAAGAAGAUCUAUGUCUAGCUAACAAGUAGGUUUAUUUGAGAGAACCAAGGAGUAUAAUAAUAUGGGCUUUGUGAGGGAGAUCCAUGAUCUACUUGACUAGCUUUUCUCCGUUCCCCAUUCCAAUAGCUAAGUAAAAAACCUGUCAAGUCAAUCAAUUUACUAAUACACCCGUAUACUCAUAUAAACAAUGGUUACGUUGUAUAUAGAAACUUUUUUAAUUCUAUCUGGUACCACAAGUACAGCUAAGAUAGUCGUAAACACAAUAGGAGGAAGACGUGAUAGGGUCUAACGUGAGGGCCUAGCGUGCACUGCCUGUAAAACGAAGUAUCUAGAGAACGAAGAACGUAGCUAGUUUUUACCUCAGAUUACGACCUAGUAGGAGAAGGGGUUCACUUUGCAAGUCACUUUAUCUAUUAGUAUACCUUACAGAGAUAUAAUGUGGUUUGCUCCGACAAACCGCGAACGGACUCAUAGUGUAAGUGGGAUGUAUGGACAGGUGUUUUUCUGAGGGACAAUAUGAAUUACCUUACUUCUUACUAAGUCAUAGGGUCAAGGGGUAUCCAGUACAGUUUUUCUUUUCGAAGAGUUAGUUGUUGCGUGUGCACGAAGCGAGAUGUUUCGGUAGAGGUUAGUUUCUUAACUACUGGGUAGGUAGAAGUUGUUAUUUAUAACUCUCAUACUACUAGGUUUGUGGUCUCCUGAGUUUGUUAUGAUGUGUAGGGAGAACGGGUCCGCGUUGAUAGUUGUGAGUCUUUUUUGUUCUGUUCGUGAGAAAUCGAUUUUCCUAGCGACUUAAAUGUCUUCUACUUUGGUGGUUGUUUCUCUCAGUUUUCCUCCAACUAGAACUCCGACGUCUUGAAGUAGAAGUUCAACAGUUUUUCGUAUUCGUUGUGUUACGUCCUUUGUUGUACUGUUACUUAUCGAUUCUUUCCGGUUCUCCUAUUGUGGCUAUUUUUUUGUAUCCUAUAACAGUUCGUGAGUGAGUUCGUCGUUGUUUGAUGUGACGGAAGAUAAACUUAAUGAAUGUAACACCGAAAUUAACAUUAGAGAUAGUAAUCAUCAUGAAAACCCACUAGGCUACGUACAUGACUCAAUACCUAUUACGAAUACGUUGAUAUAUGCCCGGCCUAAUGUAACGGAAAAUA
rnacentral:rRNA from 1 species